CGGGACACGUGGUAUCCUGUCUGAAUAUGGGGGGACCAUCCUCCAAGGCUAAAUACUCCUGACUGACCGAUAGUGAACCAGUACCGUGAGGGAAAGGCGAAAAGAACCCCGGCGAGGGGAGUGAAAAAGAACCUGAAACCGUGUACGUACAAGCAGUGGGAGCCUCUUUAUGGGGUGACUGCGUACCUUUUGUAUAAUGGGUCAGCGACUUAUAUUCUGUAGCAAGGUUAACCGAAUAGGGGAGCCGAAGGGAAACCGAGUCUUAACUGGGCGUUAAGUUGCAGGGUAUAGACCCGAAACCCGGUGAUCUAGCCAUGGGCAGGUUGAAGGUUGGGUAACACUAACUGGAGGACCGAACCGACUAAUGUUGAAAAAUUAGCGGAUGACUUGUGGCUGGGGGUGAAAGGCCAAUCAAACCGGGAGAUAGCUGGUUCUCCCCGAAAGCUAUUUAGGUAGCGCCUCGUGAAUUCAUCUCCGGGGGUAGAGCACUGUUUCGGCAAGGGGGUCAUCCCGACUUACCAACCCGAUGCAAACUGCGAAUACCGGAGAAUGUUAUCACGGGAGACACACGGCGGGUGCUAACGUCCGUCGUGAAGAGGGAAACAACCCAGACCGCCAGCUAAGGUCCCAAAGUCAUGGUUAAGUGGGAAACGAUGUGGGAAGGCCCAGACAGCCAGGAUGUUGGCUUAGAAGCAGCCAUCAUUUAAAGAAAGCGUAAUAGCUCACUGGUCGAGUCGGCCUGCGCGGAAGAUGUAACGGGGCUAAACCAUGCACCGAAGCUGCGG
rnacentral:rRNA from 1 species